GGUGAGGUCCGCCUGAUGGCAGGGGCAGCGGUUUGCUAAACCGUCGACCGGGUUCGUCCCGGUCCGUGAGUUCGAAUCUCACUCUCACCG
rnacentral:tRNA from 1 species